GUAUAUAUAAUAUGAAAUGCGUCUAAAAGGUUUUAUGUCACUUCAGGUCGACAUAAAAUAAUAACAAUAACCGAUAUACAAGUACAGCUUUAGGGAGCAAUCGAUAUAAUUCGAUAAUUAUAUUUCAAAUACUUCAAAUAAAAAAAUUAUGUGCAUUAGAAAUUUUUUCCAUUACGUUCUUCAAAAUAUAAUGCUUAUUUUGUUAUCUCUAGUAGAGAUAUUGGGAAAAAGAAGUGAAUGAAAAACAUGAAACCUUUGGAGCGAAACGCUAGCGGAACUAUUGCUGGAGUUAUGAUAGAAAGAAAAUUACCUGUUAAAAACUUCGAAAAAUUGUCAUAUAUUAAAUCAAAAUUCACAAUUAUGCGUAUUUAUUUAUUUAGGUGUCGUAGUGUUUUAAAAACGAAUAAUAUCUGCAAAAUUUGUUAAUGCAAAUAUGUUAAACAGCAAUCACUGUAUACAGAGAUUAGGAAGACUGGCCGUGAAAAUAUCCCGUGGUGCUACUUCUAAUCACUAGCCACGACCUAUUGUUCCCACUCCAGUCGGGUCUACGUAACCGGAAGGGACCCUGAUUUUUAUCCGACCAAGGACUUUCAACUCUGCAGAAUUCUGACGCUACAACUACAACAAUAACCUAUAGCCGUACUGGCGUAGACAGCACUUACGCGGGUAUAGCCGAGUUAACAACCGCGCGCUACUCGUUUUUUUUCUUCGCUAUUCGGCGCCAAUUGGAGAUAUCAAGUUCCUGGUCCUUUACCACCUGAUCUCUACAACGGAGUUGCUUCCACCGGCGGGUACUGAAUCAAAUACUUUCAAAGCGGGAUCAUUCUCAUCCGGACAACAUGACCUAGCCAACGUAGCCGCUGUCUCUUAAUUCGCUGAACAAAGUAUAUCUCAUACAGCUCAUCGUUCCAUUGACUUUAUGUAAAUUUAUUUAUUUUUUCUGAUGCUACAACAACAACCUAUAGCAUAUGUACAAUUAAUCAAAGAUUGCAUAUUAUUAAAAUAAAACUAAGCAAUAACAACACAAAAUCACAAAGUUAAAUACGAAUAGCCUUAUUGUGAGUCUCCAGACUGUAAUGCAACUAAGUAAUCAGUUGCAAUAGUUAAUUUGCAUAGUCUAUUCCGCAAUAUGUGCAUGCAUAUUAAUCAUAGUAGUGUCCGAGGACAACAUCCCAAACACAACCAUUUUUCAUUUACACUAACUAAGCAAAUGUAUUUUUUAUUUAAAUUUCAGUUUAUUUUAAUUAUAAUUACAGAUUUAAAUAUGAGUUGAGAUGUUUUAAAUUUUUAUUUCUUUUACGUUACAUCCACCGUUCCCAUUUUUUUCUGAUUUCAUACUAUUUAUUAUAUUUAGGUAUUCAGCUGUUUUUACAUUUAAUUUUGGCUUCUAAACACAAUUGCGUAUUGUUAAUCAGAUGUAAAAAUAAAACACAUUACACAUACACCUCUCCUGAGUCCAGGAUCCCCGUAUUAUAACUAAAAUUGUAUUUCUAUUUUAUUUCUGCAUUCAAUGCUAGAAAAUAUGGAAAUAUUAUGAUUUGAAUGCGUUAUUGAGGGUAUCAGAGAGUGAUUGUAAUAAUACAAAUGAUAGUUAAAGUAAAAAAAAAUGACAUUAUAGCAAUAAUGGAAGAAGGAAGGAUAAAGUACGUUUUAUCUAUUUUUAUUUCUAUUAUAAAUUUUAUUAAAUCAGUUCUAAGAUUUGAAAUAAUACCGAAAAUAAUAAUAGGAGGAAAAGGAUUACAAAAUAUAUCCACGGCAGGUUUGCGGCAUUACAUAGGUACAUAUGCUGCACUGUAGAAUCCAAAGGAAAAUUAACAAAUACAGCGUAAAUUUUGUAGGCGGUACUUUCGAGUACGGGUAAAUACGAACGACACAAUACUCAAUAUUUCUUCAAAACAUACAAAAAUACGUUUAAAAAUGUUUAAAGCUCAAUUUAAUACAGUAUAACUUUAAAUAAAAAAUAAAACAAAAUAAAAAAAAAAAAACAAUUAACAUACGUGUAUGAAACAAUAAUUGAAAAUAUAUAUUUCAAUUAUUUUAUAAAAAUGACAAAAUAGGAUUACGUAAAACAUUAUAUAUUAUAAGUUUAGGAGUCACUGAUGCUUCUAAAUAUAUUUUUGUAUUAUUUCGUCUUCGUUAAUAAUUCUGUAUGAGCUUUAAAUAGGAUACACUCAAUAUAUAAGUAUUCUUUGUUCAUAAAUGUAUAGAAGUUAACAUAUAAAGUAAAUUUAUUAUAAUUUUAUCAUACAAAGAAAUAUAUUCUACACAAGCUAGUGUACGCAAUAAAAUGUAAAUUGCAAUUAUAACCAGUUUUAACUCAUAGGUAUGUUUUCUUUAAAUAAAUAACAUUAGAUAGAAUAAAAAUAAAUGUGUGCGUUUUAUUUGACAAUAUUUUAAAUAUAUUUUUUGCGAUUGUUUUCAGUGUUAUGUGUGCGUUUGUAAAAGUUGAGUAAAUAUUAAAUUUUUGGUAAAAUCGGUUGAAUAAUUUAUUAAAUUGCUUAGCAUUUAUGCCACAGUGUUUGUACAAUUUGUUAUGUUAUAUCUUAAAAUAGGUAAUUUUUUUGUGCUUAAAAGUCGAUUUGUAGCUCAUACCAAAGUUUUUCAUAUGUAUACAUGAAUGAUUGAAAACGAGUCAAGUAACUGAAUUGGGCAACGAAAUACGUAAAGAGAAUAGAUACAUAACAAAAUCUAAAUCGUAUGUAUUACUACUGUACCCUUUUGCCUAUAUUUAAAGUUUUGAAAUAAUAAAAUGCAAUACGGUACUUGCGCCAAGUGCAACUACUUUGUACGUAUAUGUAUGUUUUGUAUUUAUGUAUGUAUGUGGUUCAGUGUAGCAAUUUUAUGAACACAUCAAAGUAUGUCAGCACAAGUACGGGGACUAAAAAUUUUGAAAAUUUUUUAAAGACGCAUUUCCAUAUGGUAGAUAUAAAUGUUUUUCAUGUUAAGUGAAAUCCUAACUUCUUAUAAAGAUGUGGUAACAUUACAUUAUUGACAUGUGACCAUGCUGUUGUUUUGACAAAGGUUUCGCACGUUUAAUGUUUCAUCUUCAAUUUUCAAUUUUAUAUUUGCCGUUUCUGCAUCCCCUACAUUUACAAAUCACAGCAAGCCCAAACAAAAAAAAAAAAAAA